AGGAGGGCCCUUUAUGACCCUUG
rnacentral:miRNA from 1 species